UACGGAGGGUGCGAGCGUUGUCCGGAAUCACUGGGCGUAAAGGGCGCGUAGGUGGCGGGUCAAGCGUGCGGUGAAAGCUCGGGGCUCAACCCCGAGUCGGCCGUGCGAACUAGCUUGCUUGAGCACUGUAGAGGCAGAUGGAAUUCCGGGUGUAGCGGUGGAAUGCGUAGAGAUCCGGAAGAACACCGGUGGCGAAGGCGGUCUGCUGGGCAGUUGCUGACACUGAGGCGCGACAGCGUGGGGAGCAAUCCGG
rnacentral:rRNA from 1 species